rnacentral:rRNA from 1 species
GCAUAUCAAUAAGCGGAGGAAAAGAAACUAACAAGGAUUCCCUUAGUAACGGCGAGUGAACCGGGAAAAGCUCAAAUUUGAAAUCUGGCUGUCUUCGAUAGUCCGAGUUGUAAUCUAUAGAAGCGUUUUCCGCGCUGAACUGUGUAUAAGUCCCUUGGAACAGGGUAUCAAAGAGGGUGACAAUCCCGUACUUACACAAUCAUCAGUGCUCUGUGAUACGU